rnacentral:rRNA from 1 species
UACGUAGGGGGGCAAGCGUUGUCCGGAAUCAUUGGGCGUAAAGCGCGCGUAGGCGGCCCUGUAAGUCCGUUGUGAAAGUCAAAGGCUCAACCUUUGAAAGCCGAUGGAUACUGCAGGGCUAGAGUCCGGAAGAGGCGAGUGGAAUUCCUGGUGUAGCGGUGGAAUGCGCAGAUAUCAGGAGGAACACCAAUAGCGAAGGCAGCUCGCUGGGACGGUACUGACGCUAAGGCGCGAAAGCGUGAGGAGCGAACAGG